GUUCCGGCUCCUCCCCCUUCUCGCCGUCGCCUGGGUCCCGCCAAAAUGCGGGAGUAGGUGGCAGCGGACCUGCGGACCCGGUUCCUGGGGGACUCUGUGGAGAACCUGAACAAGUCCCAGCUGAAGAUGGGCAUCUGGGGCGGGAAGCGCGAGGGCGCGGGGCCGCGACACCCGGCCCGCCAGGCCGUCCGGUGACAGCCACGGGCUCCGGAGGAGGCGGGAGCGCGCCCGCGCCACCUCGUCCUCUCCCCGCGUCUCUCCCCACCCGCGAUCGGCGCUCAGUAAAGCGGCUCCCAAGAAAAGGAAAGGAAAUGGCCUUUCUCACUCAUCUUCGCCAGCAUCUUACAGCAGAUAAAUGAACUUUGAAAAUUCCUUGGAAAAACCUUUAUGAAGAAGCAGGUGUUGCUACCCUGCAUGGAUUAUAGCUGAGAUUGUCCCUGGAACAAGUAUUGAAAAUGAUGCUGAGAAAGAAGAAAAAUCCUUACACGAUAUUAAACAGAAAGAGCUUUCUGGAAUUGAAGAUGCCCUUCAAAAAGCAGCAGAGAAAGGUGAUUCAGUCUGGACCAAAAAAUUAAGGAAAAAGUCUGCUGACACAGGAGGGAAAUGUGCCAGGCUGAUUUAGUAGGUUUUGGAGAAAGGAUUCAAGAAAAAAAGAUGAAGAAUCAUUCAUUCCUGAAACUACAGCUGACCUUAUGACUCCAGAGGAAAAAGAUAAACUCUUUCCUGCUAUUGGUUAUAGUGAGAACACUUUAACUUAACUUUACCCAAGCAGUAUGUUGCCCACAUAAUGACCCUGAAGUUAGUAAGCGCCUCUGUCACACUCAGAGAAAACAAAAAUAUUCCAGAAAUACUAAAAUUCAGAUAAUUGACCUGGGCACCCAUGUAUCUCAGCGACCAGGAGCACAAGCUCUAAGGUAAAUUUAAAAACUUCAGUGUUUACUUCUAAUUAUGAUUCUAGGCCAAAAAUGUAGAACGUUAUUCAGCAUUAAAAACUGAGUUAGUAAUAGCUCUUCUUUAAUUCCUUUUCUUGGUGUGUGCCAGGAUAGUCUUUUAUGUUUUGUUUUAUAAUGGAACAAUAUAAUUCAUGAUUUAUUCCACCCUUCAUCCUUUC